rnacentral:sRNA from 1 species
CUCAUCAAAAACAGAUCAGUAGUUUGAGAGAUGAAGUAGAAGCAAAAGAAAAACUUAUUACUGAUCUUCAAGACCAAAACCAGAAAAUGAUGUUAGAGCAGGAACGUCUAAGAGUAGAACAUGAGAAGCUGAAAGCCACAGAUCAGGAAAAGAGCAGAAAACUACAUGAACUUACGGUUAUGCAGGAUAGACGAGAACAAGCAAGACAAGACUUGAAGGGUUUGGAAGAGACAGUGAGUGCCGAGAUUGAUUCUGAUGAUACGGGAGGCAGCGCUGCUCAGAAGCAAAAAAUCUCCUUUCUUGAAAAUAAUCUUGAACAGCUCACUAAAGUGCACAAACAGUUGGUACGUGAUAAUGCAGAUCUCCGCUGUGAACUUCCUAAGUUGGAAAAGCGACUUCGAGCUACAGCUGAGAGAGUGAAAGCUUUGGAAUCAGCACUGAAAGAAGCUAAAGAAAAUGCAUCUCGUGAUCGCAAACGCUAUCAGCAAGAAGUA